CCUCUCACCAGGAGAUUGUGGGUUUAACCAGACAAAAAUGAAGCACAGUCAGUUGUGUUUUUAUUGCAAUUAACAGUGAAACAUAAGUUAAAAAACAAAAAAAAACAUCUUUUCAACAUAAAAGGCUUAAAAUUCACAUGCUCCUAUGUUUUCUUCUCCUCUGAUCCUCUCCUCUUCUAUUCCUCCUCCUCUAUUCCUCUGAUCCUCUCUUCCUCCUCCUCUCCUCUUCCUCCUCCUCUGAUCCUCUCCUCUUCUCUUCUUUUUUUUGCUACUUUUGGCCACUUGAUAAAUUGGAUUUAACCUUCACCAAACUCGUUCAUCUCUGACGUCGUCAUGAGUCACACGUUUCCCCAAAACCAUCACAGUUUAACGGCAUCAGAAGAUUUACUUUGGUACAACCGGGACUAAACCAGGACUAAAUCGGGUCUAAACCAGGUCUAAACCGGGGACUAAACCGGGACUAAACCAGGUCUAAACCAGGUCUAAACGGGGACUAAACCAGGACUAAAUCGGGUCUAAACCAGGUCUAAACGGGGACUAAACCAGGACUAAAUCGGGUCUAAACCAGGUCUAAACAGGGUCUAAACCGGGUCUAAACCGGGACUAAACUGGGACUAAACGGGGUCUAAACCAGGUCUAAACGGGGACUAAACCGGGUCUAAACGGGGACUAAACCGGGUCUAAACAGGGACUAAACCGGGUCUAAACCAGGUCGAAACGGGGACUAAACCAGGAGUAAACGGGGACUAAACCGGGUCUAAACCGGGUCUAAACCGGGUCUUCAGUUUGCAGACGUCUUAAAUCCUUUUUCCUUCCUUUUUCACUGUAAACUUGGUGUCAUGUUAAACUUCUGUCAGUCGAAAAACUUUAAAUUCCAGUAAAAAUCCCCAGAUCGUUGAAAAACUCUUCACUCAGUCUUAAUUUACAAACAAAAUCCCACAUUUACUCUUUAUAUUCCAGCUCGUUCCAAAGCCGUAAAUCACUUUUCAUAUUUUAAGGCUCUUUUCUGAGUUUAUUUCACCUCAGAUUUGAAAAACCUGCUGAAAUGUUUAGACGAGAUUCACAGUUAAAUAAAAUAAAUGGUGGUUCCUGCGAGUGCGAGGCCGGUCCAGCCAAAUGUCCCGUUAAAACAAAAGCUUCUGCGUUCAGCCACGAGACUCACACUCCCAGAAGGCCGAGCGGCAGAGUCGU
ensembl:lncRNA